GUGUUUAGCCACAUUCUUUCAAGAGCAAGGAAUUGCACAUGAACGCUUGUGUCUAUCGACGCCUGAGCAGAAUGGACGAGUAGAAAGCAAGUACCGACAUAUUCUCAA
rnacentral:sRNA from 1 species